rnacentral:rRNA from 1 species
UACGUAGGGGGCAAGCGUUGUCCGGAAUCAUUGGGCGUAAAGCGCGUGUAGGCGGCCAGAUAAGUCCGUUCUGAGAGCCCGGGGCUCAACCCCGGGAGGCGGAUGGAUACUGUUUGGCUCGAGUCCGGAAGAGGCGAGUGGAAUUCCCGGUGUAGCGGUGAAAUGCGCAGAUAUCGUAAGGAAGACCAGUGGCGAAGGCGGGUCUCUGGACAGUUCCUGACGCUGAGGCACGAAGGUCAGGGGAGCAAACGGG